GACCUCGAUCAGUAGUAUGACCUCC
rnacentral:rRNA from 1 species